GAUGAACGCUGGCGGCGUGCUUAACACAUGCAAGUCGAACGAUGAAGCUAGAGCUUGCUCUGGUGGAUUAGUGGCGAACGGGUGAGUAACACGUGAGUAACCUGCCCCGAACUCUGGGAUAACUGCUGGAAACGGUAGCUAAUACCGGAUAUGACCAAUGAAGGCAUCUUCUGUUGGUGGAAAGAAUUUCGGUUCGGGAUGGACUCGCGGCCUAUCAGCUUGUUGGUGAGGUAACGGCUCACCAAGGCGACGACGGGUAGCCGGCCUGAGAGGGGGAUCGGCCACACUGGGACUGAGACCCGGCCCAGACGCCUACGGGGGGCAGCAGUGGGGAAUAUUGCACAAUGGGCGCAAGCCUGAUGCAGCAACGCCGCUGGAGGGACGACGGCCUUCGGGUUGUAAACCUCUUUUAGUAGGGAAGAAGCGAAAGUGACGGUACCUGCAGAAAAAGCACCGGCUAACUACGUGCCAGCCGCCGCCGUAA
rnacentral:rRNA from 1 species